rnacentral:rRNA from 1 species
UUCGGGGUACUCGAGUGGCGAACGGGUGAGUAACACGUGGGUGAUCUGCCCUGCACUUUGGGAUAAGCCUGGGAAACUGGGUCUAAUACCGAAUAGGACCACGCGCUUCAUGGUGUGUGGUGGAAAGCUUUUGCGGUGUGGGAUGGGCCCGCGGCCUAUCAGCUUGUUGGUGGGGUAAUGGCCUACCAAGGCGACGACGGGUAGCCGGCCUGAGAGGGUGACCGGCCACACUGGGACUGAGAUACGGCCCAGACUCCUACGGGAGGCAGCAGUGGGGAAUAUUGCACAAUGGGCGCAAGCCUGAUGCAGCGACGCCGCGUGAGGGAUGACGGCCUUCGGGUUGUAAACCUCUUUCAAUAGGGACGAAGCGCAAGUGACGGUACCUAUAGAAGAAGCACCGGCCAACUACGUGCCAGCAGCCGCGGUAAUACGUAGGGUGCGAGCGUUGUCCGGAAUUACUGGGCGUAAAGAGCUCGUAGGUGGUUUGUCGCGUUGUUCGUGAAAACUCACAGCUUAACUGUGGGCGUGCGGGCGAUACGGGCAGACUAGAGUACUGCAGGGGAGACUGGAAUUCCUGGUGUAGCGGUGGAAUGCGCAGAUAUCAGGAGGAACACCGGUGGCGAAGGCGGGUCUCUGGGCAGUAACUGACGCUGAGGAGCGAAAGCGUGGGGAGCGAACAGGAUUAGAUACCCUGGUAGUCCACGCCGUAAACGGUGGGUACUAGGUGUGGGUUCCUUCCUUGGGAUCCGUGCCGUAGCUAACGCAUUAAGUACCCCGCCUGGGGAGUACGGCCGCAAGGCUAAAACUCAAAGGAAUUGACGGGGGCCCGCACAAGCGGCGGAGCAUGUGGAUUAAUUCGAUGCAACGCGAAGAACCUUACCUGGGUUUGACAUGCACAGGACGCCGGCAGAGAUGUCGGUUCCCUUGUGGCCUGUGUGCAGGUGGUGCAUGGCUGUCGUCAGCUCGUGUCGUGAGAUGUUGGGUUAAGUCCCGCAACGAGCGCAACCCUUGUCCUAUGUUGCCAGCGGGUUAUGCCGGGGACUCGUAGGAGACUGCCGGGGUCAACUCGGAGGAAGGUGGGGAUGACGUCAAGUCAUCAUGCCCCUUAUGUCCAGGGCUUCACACAUGCUACAAUGGCCGGUACAAAGGGCUGCGAUGCCGUGAGGUGGAGCGAAUCCUUUCAAAGCCGGUCUCAGUUCGGAUCGGGGUCUGCAACUCGACCCCGUGAAGUCGGAGUCGCUAGUAAUCGCAGAUCAGCAACGCUGCGGUGAAUACGUUCCCGGGCCUUGUACACACCGCCCGUCACGUCAUGAAAGUCGGUAACACCCGAAGCCGG